GACCACGCCCGACAGCGGCGUCAAGGCCAUACGGACAGCCGGGUCCACUGCCGA
rnacentral:sRNA from 1 species